AUUGAACGCUGGCGGCAGGCCUAACACAUGCAAGUCGAGCGGGGUUUUCGGACCUAGCGGCGGACGGGUGAGUAAUGCGUAGGAAGCUGCCCGAUAGAGGGGGAUACCAGUUGGAAACGACUGUUAAUACCGCAUAAUGUCUACGGACCAAAGUGUGGGACCUUCGGGCCACAUGCUAUCGGAUGCGCCUACGUGGGAUUAGCUAGUUGGUGAGGUAAUGGCUCACCAAGGCGACGAUCUCUAGCGGGUUUGAGAGGAUGAUCAGCCACACUGGAACUGAGACACAGUCCAGACUCCUACGGGAGGCAGCAGUGGGGAAUAUUGGACAAUGGGAGCAAGCCUGAUCCAGCCAUGCCGCGUGUGUGAAGAAGGCCUUCGGGUUGUAAAGCACUUUCAGCGAGGAGGAAGGGUGGUGUGUUAAUAGCACAUCAUUUUGACGUUACUCGCAGAAGAAGCACCGGCUAACUCUGUGCCAGCCGCCGCCGUAAGAC
rnacentral:rRNA from 1 species